AUGCUGCCUUCAGUGCUAUGGGAAUUAUGGUAAACUAGUUACGAACUUGAAAAUUGCACGAAUGCUCCCUCAUGUUAUAUUUUCCACUGGAGAACUGGGUGGAGAUUUGGAUCGUGCAAGACGAUGG